rnacentral:rRNA from 1 species
UGGGGGAGGCAGCAGGGAAUAUUGUGCAAUGAACGAAAGUUUGACACAGCGACACCGCGUGUGGGAUGACGGAUCUAGGUUUGUAAACCACUUUCAGGAGGGAAGAAAAUGACGGUACCUCCACAAGAAGCCCCGGCCAACUACGUGCCAGCAGCCGCGGUAAUACGUAGGGGGCGAGCGUUGUCCGGAUUUAUUGGGCGUAAAGAGCUCGUAGGCGGUUCAACAAGUCGGUCGUGAAAGUUCAGGGCUCAACCCUGAAAUGUCGAUCGAUACUGUUGUGACUAGGAUACGGUAGAGGUGAGUGGAAUUCCGAGUGUAGCGGUGAAAUGCGUAGAUAUUCGGAGGAACACCAAUUGCGAAGGCAGCUCACUGGGCCGCUAUCGACGCUGAGGAGCGAAAGCUAGGGGAGCAAACAGGAUUAGAUACCCUGGUAGUCCUAGCUGUAAACGAUGGAUACUAGAUGUAGGAACUGGAUUGAUUCUCC